rnacentral:rRNA from 1 species
AAGCGCGCGUAGGUGGUUUGUUAAGUUGGAUGUGAAAGCCCCGGGCUCAACCUGGGAACUGCAUUCAAAACUGACAAGCUAGAGUAUGGUAGAGGGUGGUGGAAUUUUCCUGUGUAGCGGUGAAAUGCGUAGAUAUAGGAAGGAACACCAGUGGCGAAGGCGACCACCUGGACUGAUACUGACACUGAGGUGCGAAAGCGUGGGGAGCAAACAGGAUUAGAUACCCGUGU